rnacentral:rRNA from 1 species
UGCAAGUCGAGCGAGGUAGCAAUACCUAGCGGCGAACGGUCGCGUAACACGUAAGCAACCUGCCCCAAAGACCGGGACAACGUUCCGAAAGGAGCGCUAAUACCGGAUGUGCCCAUCUGUUGACAUCGGCGGAUGAGUAAAUCGCGCAAUCGGCUUUGGGAGGGGCUUGCGGCCUAUCAGCUAGAUGGUGGGGUAACGGCCUACCAUGGCGACGACGGGUAGCUGGUCUGAGAGGAUGGUCAGCCGGAUUGGGACUGAGAUACGGCCCAGACUCCUACGGGGGGCAGCAAUUAGGAAUCUUGCGCAAUGGGCGAAAGCCUGACGCAGCGACGUCGCGUGGGGGAGGAAGGCUUUCGGGUUGUAAACCCCUUUUAUCGAGGAAGAAACAAAUGGCGGUACUCGAUGAAUAAGCCCCGGCUAACUCCGUGCCAGCAGCCGCGGUAAUACGGAGGGGGCUAGCGUUGUCCGAAGUUACUGGGCGUAAAGCGCGCGUAGGCGGGUUGGUAAGUCCGCUGUGAAAGCCCGGAGCUUAACUCCGGAGGGUCGGUGGAUACUGCCAGUCUUGAAGGUGCUAGGGGGAGAUGGAAUUACCGGUGUAGCGGUGAAAUGCGUAGAUAUCGGUAGGAACACCAGUGGCGAAGGCGGUCUCCUGGGGCAUUCUUGACGCUGAGGCGCGAAAGCUGGGGGAGCAAACGGGAUUAGAUACCCCGGUAGUCCCAGCCCUAAACGAUGAAUACUAGGUGUCGGGGGUAUCGACCCCUCCGGUGCCGCCGCUAACGCAGUAAGUAUUCCGCCUGGGGAGUACGGCCGCAAGGUUGAAACUCAAAGGAAUUGACGGGGGCCCGCACAAGCGGUGGAGCAUGUUGUUUAAUACGUCACUAACCGUAGAACCUUACCAGGGUUUGACAUGGCGUGCCAUCCUAUGAAAGUAGGCU